AUUGAACGCUGGCGGCAUGCCUUACACAUGCAAGUCGAACGGCAGCAUGGAGAGCUUGCUCUCUGAUGGCGAGUGGCGAACGGGUGAGUAAUGCAUCGGAACGUACCGUGUAAUGGGGGAUAACGUAGCGAAAGUUACGCUAAUACCGCAUACGACCUGAGGGUGAAAGCAGGGGAUCGCAAGACCUUGCGUUAUACGAGCGGCCGAUGUCAGAUUAGCUAGUUGGUGAGGUAAAGGCUCACCAAGGCGACGAUCUGUAGCGGGUCUGAGAGGAUGAUCCGCCACACUGGGACUGAGACACGGCCCAGACUCCUACGGGAGGCAGCAGUGGGGAAUUUUGGACAAUGGGGCAACCCUGAUCCAGCCAUGCCGCGUGAGUGAAGAAGGCCUUUGGGUUGUAAAGCUCUUUCGGCCGGGAAGAAAUCGCACAGGCUAAUACUCUGUGUGGAUGACGGUACCGGCAUAAGAAGCACCGGCUAACUACGUGCCAGCCGCCGCAGUAA
rnacentral:rRNA from 1 species